AGAUUCGUGUCUCUCGCUUUUGCUUCGUACUCAAAUAGAUAUAUCGUGUGGCAUGCGUCGCUACUUGGGCGGUGGCUGGAUCCACGUGUCGCCGAGGACGUAGUGUGUGCCGACGAAUGGCUUGGCCUGCGCCUCGGUGAGGUCCAGCGCCCACCCCACCCUCUUCUUCUUCUUGGCGUCAGCGCCGGGGCCAAAGCACUUGAACUCGCCGUAGUAGAUGCCGCUGCUCUCCGGCUUGGCGAUCUGCCAGCCGUCCCAGCCCACGGGGACCACCUCCUCCCCCAUCUUCGUGUACGAGUAGACGACCCGGGAGGAGUCCCCCCAGGCGCGGCCCAGGUAGAUCUGGCCGCCCUUGACGCCGCCGAUGCUGCAGUUCUUGAACGAGAAGCCGGUGUCGAUGGCGCCCUCGAUGGACUUGGAACGCUGCUGCGCCGUCAGCACCGCCACCUCCUUGACCACCGACUCGAUGCGGCAGUCCUCGUAGAAGCUGCGGCCGAAGCCGAAGAUGAAGUCGACGCUGCCCCGGAUGAGGCAGCCCUUGAAGUAGUGCAGGCCCUUGUGGUCGUACAGCGUGUCCUGUCCGCCGUCGAUGGUGCAGUUGUAGAUCUGCGUCUUGGUCCCGAACAGCCGCACCGCCACCGCCUGGCCGCCCUUGGCGCCGGGCUUGGCCAGCGGCGCGUCGUUCCGGAACACCACGCCGUACGCCGUGAAGUAGUCCGACUCCACCGCCAGCGUGGCGCUCCCCACCGUGCCCACCGGCUUGCCGUCCUUGCCGUUCGUGGCCGCAGUGUCGUUCCAGACCACGACGGCGGGCUUCUUGGGGUCCGACCGGAACGUGAUGAACGGCUUGCUGAUGUUCAGGAACAGCUUCUCGCGGAACUGAGCGCCGGGCUUGAGAUCCAGGAUCACGCGCUUGGUGUUGCUCACCGGGAUAUCCUCCAGCGCCGCGGUGAUGUUGGUGUAGUCGCCCUUGCCGCUGGGGUCCACCACGUACGUGACCUUCUUCUUCUCCGCCUCCGACAGCUUCUUGUCCAGGGGCUCCUUGCCCCCGUCCCCGACGGACUUCUGCGCGUACAGCGCGUAGCUCUGCUGGUUCAUCGCCACCCAGUUGCUGAACGCCCCGCCGGGCGCGUUCGCGGCGGCCGGCGCCGCACCAAGGAGCGCGGACGCCAGGGCGAGGAGGAGGAGGGGCUUAUUAGUCGUCAUCGUGGCCACCGCUCGCUGCGCCAUGGUGGACCACCGAAGCAAUGCACCUACCGAAGGACGGGGAGCGCG
rnacentral:misc_RNA from 1 species